rnacentral:rRNA from 1 species
GACGAACGCUGGCGGCGUGCUUAAUACAUGCAAGUCGAGCGGAGCGGCGAACGGGUGAGUAACGCGUGAGUAACUGCCCCCAUCUCUGGGAUAACAGUUGGAAACGGCUGCUAAUACAGGAUAGUGGGGGAUGACUCGCGUCCGAUUAGUUUGUUGGUGGGGUAGUGGCUAACAAAGGCGACGACGGAUAGCCGGCCUGAGAGGGCGACCGGCAACAGUGGGCUGAGAUACGGCCCCAACUCCUACGGGAGGCAGCAGUGGGGAAUAUUGCACAAUGGGGGAAACCCUGAUGCAGCAACGCGCGUGCGGGAGGACGGCCUUCGGGUUGUAAACCGCUUUCAGCCAUGACGCGGUAGUUGCAGAAGAAGCAACGGCUAACUACGUGCCAGCAGCCGCGGUAAUUC